GACGAACGCUGGCGGCGUGCUUAACACAUGCAAGUCGAACGAAGUGGAGAACGGGUGAGUAACUCGUAAUCAACCUGCCCUUCCAGGGGGGACCACAGUUGGAAACGACUGCUAAUAACGCAUACUGAAGGAGGGGCUUGCGUCUGAUUCGCUGGUUGGAGGGGGAACGGCCCACCAAGGCGAGCAUCAGUAGCCGGGUUGAGAGGGUGAACGGCCACAUUGGGACGUAGACACGGCCCAGCCUCCUACGGGAGGCAGCAGUGGGGAAUCUUCCGCAAUGGACGAAAGUCUGACGGAGCAACGCCGCGUGAGUGAUGACGGCCUGCGGGUUGUAAAGCUCUGUUAAUCGGGACGCGGUACCGGAAUAGAAAGCCACGGCUAACUACGUGCCAGCAGCCGCGGUAAUAC
rnacentral:rRNA from 1 species